GCCAGGGAAGGCUGCGGAGGUCAAAGAUGAUGUCUGAGAAGUUGCCGGAUGCCAGCCAGUCAGUCAGAAGAAGAGGGCAUUGGAUCCCAUUGCAGAUUGUUGUGAGCCAUCAUAUGUUGCUGGAAAUUGAACUCAGAGCCUCUGAGAGAACAGUCAGUGCUCUUAAUUGGAAUUUGGAUCCUCAGAAACCCACAUAAACGCUGGGUGGGCUGGGCUGCCUAGCUCUGCUUCCAGCUGUGGAUGGCAGGAACAGGGAACCCCCUUCCAAAAAAAAGGGGACCCAAGGACAAGCUGCCUGCUGAGACUAUCAAUCAAGAAUGAUUCCAAACACUAAUAUCAGCUCUCCACACACGUGCAUGCUUGUACAAUCAUACUUGCACACAACGUGUGCCUAUACACAUGCAAAAGCAUGUAAAACACAGUAUAUGUGCACACACAUACAUACAACAUACACACACACACACACACACCAAAAGAAAAAUAAUGGGGGAAAAGUACAUAUUGACUGAAACGUCGAAGACCUUAAGAAGCCAGCUUAGCCUUCAUGGUCCAUGUAAGGCCAUACUCAUCAGCUGCCACAUUUUAUUCAGUGUUUCCCAUUGUUUUUGAAAAUUAACAUUUGCUGAGCACACCGGUGCACACCUUCAGCCUCAGCACUUGGGAGGCAGAGGCAGAGAUGGGAGGGCCUCCCUGAGUUUGAGGCCAGCCUGGUGAGACCUUACCUUAAAAAAAGUGAAAAUAUCCCUUAACUGGGCUGCCUUGUCUGGCCUCAGUGGGAGAAGAUGAGCAGAACCCUGCAGAGACUUGAUGUGCCAGGUUGGGGGCGUGGGAUCUGGGAGGGGCCUCCACCCUCUCAGAGGAGAAGUGUAGGGGAGGACGUGUGAGGGACUGUGUGAGGGGGAAGACAAAAAGGGAGAAGAGGAAGAAAUUCAAAGAUUAGCCGACUGUCACGCCAUUUGGGGCAGCCAGGGAGAGAUACCCACAGACUCCAGGCCUGACACCACCCACCUGAGUGUGGGAGGGGGAAAGACCUCCAUAGACUCACCAGGUGCCACCCCUCACAGGUGGGCAUAGACACCUGGUUCCCACUAGCUGCCACACCAGGAGGCCUAGACAGAGGAGUUCACCCGGAGCGCUGCCAGCCACAUGACCAGGCUACAUGACCAGGCAGAAGCCGCUACAGUGUGCAAGUGUGUGGCAGACAGGUGGGAGAGAAAGAAUUAGAACAGUUUGAGGAUUAUGAGGAACUAUGGAACUGGAGGCUAAUGAUGGAGAGGAAUAGUCUGUCGUGAGAAGCCAGCCCUGUCACCUGAGGCCAUGGUGAAAUCCCAGCCCGUGCUGUCACCGAGGGCCAUGUCUGGAUCCACGGCUACACAGUGGCAGGGGUCCAUGUAGAUAUCAAUGGCUAAUAUUACCACUAGGACCAUGGGGACGUCCCUAAUCUGGAUGCCUAAGAACUGUGCAGAACUGGCCCUACCCCUCACUGGCUGUGCCUUCUGGAGAGCUGGCCCCAUCUCUCACAGCAGCACCCAGGAGAGCAGGACCUGAGCUUCAGCGGAACCUCAGGAGCACAGUGGAGCCUCGGGAAGCACAGUGGAGGUAGUUCCGGAGGCAUGGCUGAGGGCAGAGAGCAGGAGGACGAACCCUGUCUCUUGCCAACGCUAGUGCUAGAUGGCCAAGCUGGAGCAGUGCUGGAGAACUCGCCCUGGUGGUGCCCAUAAGGAGGAACUCACAGGAGGGCCAGCACAGCUAACACCCAGGCCCAGAUGCAGGGCUUUGCAUUGGCCCAUCCCAAAAUCUACAUCAUCUGUGAACCGGUGGGGCAUGUGAAAGGGCCAGUCCUGCUGAUGCAAAGCUGCAGGAUCUCCAUAACACAGGGCAACAACAGGAUCCCGGUGGGGAUCCAGUAUCGAUGGUAUCAUAGAAGCCAGAGACCAGGAACCAGACCAAUGACUCACUGCAUGUGACAUUUGCAUGUGAAGAUGUGUGGGCAGAGGGGUGUACUGUGGGACACACUGUGAUACACCACAGCUUCCACAGUGAGAUGUUUUCUAUGCUUUGUUUUGCUUAUUUUUUAUUUGUCGGUGUGUUUUUUA